rnacentral:rRNA from 1 species
CAGUAGCCGCGGGAACACGAACCGUGCGAACGUUAUUCGGAAUCACUGGGCUUAAGGCGCGUGUAGGCGGGAGGGCACGUCCGUCGCUGAAAUCCCCCGGCUCAACCGGGGAACGGGCGCGGAUACGACUCUUCUGGAGGAACGUAGGGGGACCUGGAACUUCCGGUGGAGCGGUGAAAUGCGUUGAGAUCGGAAGGAACGCCCGUGGCGAAAGCGAGGUCCUGGACGUUUACUGACGCUGAGACGCGAAAGCCAGGGGAGCGAACGGGAUUAGAUACCCGUGUAGUCCCUGUCUCUUAUU